rnacentral:rRNA from 1 species
GACGGAGGAUGCAAGCGUUAUCCGGAAUGAUUGGGCGUAAAGCGUCCGCAGGUGGCUAUGUAAGUCUGCUGUUAAAGAGUGAGGCUCAACCUCAUAAAAGCAGUGGAAACUACAUGGCUAGAGUGCGUUCGGGGCAGAGGGAAUUCCUGGUGUAGCGGUGAAAUGCGUAGAGAUCAGGAAGAACACCGGUGGCGAAAGCGCUCUGCUAGGCCGCAACUGACACUGAUGGACGAAAGCUGGGGGAGCGAAUGGG